rnacentral:rRNA from 1 species
GAUAACUACUGGAAACGGUAGCUAAUACCGCAUAACGUCGCAAGACCAAAGAGGGGGACCUUCGGGCCUCUUGCCAUCGGAUGUGCCCAGAUGGGAUUAGCUUGUUGGUGGGGUAACGGCUCACCAAGGCGACGAUCCCUAGCUGGUCUGAGAGGAUGACCAGCCACACUGGAACUGAGACACGGUCCAGACUCCUACGGGAGGCAGCAGUGGGGAAUAUUGCACAAUGGGCGCAAGCCUGAUGCAGCCAUGCCGCGUGUAUGAAGAAGGACCUUCGGGUUGUAAAGUACUUUCAGCGGGGAGGAAGGGAGUAAAGUUAAUACCUUUGCUCAUUGACGUUACCCGCAGAAGAAGCACCGGCUAACUCCGUGCCAGCAGCCGCGGUAAUACGGAGAGGUGCAAGCGUUAAUCGGAAUUACUGGGCGUAAAGCGCACGCAGGCGGUUUGUUAAGUCAGAUGUGAAAUCCC